GACGAACGCAGGCGGCGUGCCUAAUACAUGCAAGUCGAGCGGAUUGAUGGGAGCUUGCUCCCUGAUAUCAGCGGCGGACGGGUGAGUAACACGUGGGCAACCUGCCUAUAAGACUGGGAUAACUUCGGGAAACCGGAGCUAAUACCGGAUAAUCCCUUUCCUCUCAUGAGGAAAGGCUGAAAGAUGGUUUACGCUAUCACUUAUAGAUGGGCCCGCGGCGCAUUAGCUAGUUGGGGAGGUAACGGCUUACCAAGGCAACGAUGCGUAGCCGACCUGCGAGGUUGAUCGACCACACUGGGACUGAGACACGGCCGAGCCUCCGGCGGGAGGCAGCAGUAGGGAAUCAUCCGCGAUGGACGAAAGUCUGACGGAGCAACGCCGCGUGAGUGAUGAAGGUUUUCGGAUCGUAAAACUCUGUUGUUAGGGAAGAACAAGUACGAGAGUAACUGCUCGUACCUUGACGGUACCUAACCAGAAAGCCACGGCUAACUACGUGCCAGCCGCCGCCGUAA
rnacentral:rRNA from 1 species